rnacentral:rRNA from 1 species
GAUGCGACCUCAGCUCAGGCGGGGCCACCCGCUGAGUUUAAGCAUAUCAAUAAGCGGAGGAAAAGAAACUAACAAGGANUCCNCUNC